UUCCCCUCCGGAAGACCCAUUUACUCAUUUCCCGCGCAAAACCCUUAACCUUUCUCCUUCGCCGGCGCGACGAUGAUGGAAUCGCCGACACAGACGGCGGAGCACAUAGAGUCUAUGACGGAGUUUCUGAUGAACCACUAUUCCGAUCAGCUCCGCGACAUCUCUCUCUCUACCGAUCCCAAACUUCACUACCCUCUCUUUCUCGAAUUCGCAGAACUCGUUGAUGAUAAUCCGAAUCUGGCGCAUCUUGUUUUCUCCAAUCCCGAGCAAUUUCUUCGUCACUUCGACGAUUCAGCCAUUUUGGCUCACAAAAUUGCGUUGGAGCAGAUGAAAAAAUUUGAGAACAAGAUUGGGACCGAGAAGAGAUUUAUACAUGUUCGUAUAAACACUAGUGGAUCCCCUCUAGAACGAAGCCCUGACUCUUUCCCGAGUAUUGGUCGGGUUAGAGUAAAGCACCGUGGGAUUCUGCUGAUGUUGAAAGGCACAGUGAUUCGUUCUGGGGCUGUCAAAAUGUACGAGGGAGAACGGAUGUAUAGAUGCCGAAAAUGCAAGCACAUGUUUCCUCUUUUCCCUGAGUUGGAAUCGAUAAACUCAAUCGUGAAACCGCCCUUUUGUCCUUCCCAGCGGUCAAAAUCUUGUGAAGGCACAAACUUUGAUCCUGUGGAAGAUACAGUCACACGCCAUGACUAUCAAGAAAUCAAAAUCCAAGAAAAUACUCAGGUUUUAGGUGUUGGGGUUAUCCCAAGGUCCAUUCUAGUCGUCCUGAAAGAUGACCUUGUUGACAUUGUUAAAGCUGGAGAUGAUGUUGUUGUCUCUGGCAUCUUGACGUCAAAAUGGUCUCAUGACUUAAAAGACGUUCGCUGCGACCUUGAACCUAUGUUGAUCGCCAAUCAUGUCAGAAGAACUAACGAACUCAAAUCAGAAAUUGACAUAUCUGAUGAAUUGAUCGAGAAGUUCAAGAAGUUUUGGAGCCACUUCAAAGAUACCCCUUUGAAAGGGAGAAAUGCUAUCCUACGAGGUAUCUGCCCACAAGUCUUUGGUCUCUUCACUGUUAAGCUUGCAGUUGCCUUAACACUCAUUGGAGGUGUGCAACAUGUUGAUGCCUCUGGUACAAAAGUCCGGGGAGAGUCUCACUUGCUUCUUAUUGGUGAUCCAGGCACUGGAAAAUCUCAGUUCUUGAAGUUUGCUGCAAAACUAAGCAACAGAGCUGUAAUCACAACAGGACUAGGAAGCACAAGUGCUGGAUUGACUGUAACUGCGGUUAAGGAUGGAGGGGAGUGGAUGUUGGAAGCUGGGGCUCUUGUUCUUGCAGAUGGUGGACUUUGCUGUAUUGAUGAAUUUGAUAGCAUGAGAGAGCAUGACAGAGCAACCAUACAUGAAGCAAUGGAGCAACAAAGCAUAAGCGUUGCCAAGGCUGGCCUUGUAACGACUCUUAGCACAAAGACAAUCGUCUUCGGUGCUACAAAUCCUAAAGGACAAUAUGAUCCCGAUCAGUCUCUUUCUGUAAAUACUGCCCUCUCCGGUCCCUUGUUGAGCAGAUUUGAUAUUGUACUCGUUCUUUUAGAUACAAAGAAUCCUGAAUGGGAUAAAGUUGUAUCCUCCCACAUCCUUGCUGAGGUGGAAAUAGAGCAAGGCAGAUAUGUCGAUGAUCUGACUACGAUUUGGCCACUACCGAUGCUUCAAAGGUACAUUCAGUUUGUAAAAAAAAACUUCAGGCCUGUCCUGUCAAAGGAAUCAGAAGAAAUAAUUUCAAGUUAUUAUCGACUCCAAAGAAGAUCAUCAACACAUAAUGCAGGUAUCUUCUAAGCACACUUCUUUGUUUUCCAGAUGUUAAUUUUUUUUAUUAACAUGGAACAGUGUCUUCUUAUUCUUUAUUUAUAUCAAAAAUUGCUCUGCAACCCCAUUCUUACUGGAUGUAAGUGUAGCCAAGAGAUAGGUCGAUCGAUUUCAAAUCCACUUGAUACUUGCUUGCAAGAACAACCGUGCGGAUGUUAGAAAGCUUAAUCCGUCUAGCUCAAGCUCAUGCAAGGCUGAUGUUAAGAAAUGAGGUCACACGAUUGGAUGCCAUAACAGCAAUCCUGUGCAUUGAAUCGUCGAUGACCAUUUCAGCCAUCGUGGACAGUAUGGGGAACGCGCUGCACUCUAAUUUCUCUGAAGAACCGGAUCAGGAAUACGCGAAGCAAGAGAAGAUCAUCCUUGAAAAGCUAAGAGGAGACGACAUUUAUUAGCGUGUGCGAAGAGAGGGAGAUAGGGUUGCAAUAUUAUCUCCUUAUGUGUCUCCGGCAAAGUUUCAUAUGUACCGAGUUCAUUAUGUGGUGGGUUGCAUACUUACUGUAAAAGAUGCAUGUUUUCUAUCUCCGUGUCCGAUACAGUUAAUUAGUUAAAGACGGUCGGUCUUCUACAACACAAUUUGCCUUCAAA